CAGCUGUCCAGAGAGGCACACCCAGCUGGACACAUGCUUCUCUGCUUAGUCACCAGUGGCCAUACCCUAGCUUGGCACAGCUGGAGCCUCCAGGAGCCCAAACAGAAAACUCAUCUGCAGACCGCACCAGCUUCACAGGCACCAGCUCGGGAGCUGAGAACUUGGCAAAAACAAGCACUGUAGUGAAGAUGGUAUUUCAGCCUGAACUCUAAGCCACCUCUUUGAGAGUUACUCUUGUCUCUGGGUGUCUCCCUGUGCGUAUGAGACAUACAUGUUAGCAAGCUUCUGCUUGUUUUUUUCUUGUUAAUCUGUCUUUUGUUACAGGAGUCCCUCCCAGCUGAGACUCAGAAGGGCAGAGAGAAAAUUAUUUUUUUCCUCUCCUACAGAGCAAAUGUGUGGGAUUUCUCUGUCUACAUGAGAACUGUUUGUCAAAGAGGUCAUCGUCUUGUGAGGCUGUGUACCUAGUUUGUUGAUUGUUGAGAGCAACCCUGAAGAUCCCUCCUUCUGAAAUUGCCUUUAGAAGCAGUUUGUGAAACUUUCAAGAAACUUGGACAUAUUCCUCACAUAACAUUCCACAGCUCGCCCAGCUCCUGCAUUCCUGAGACGCGACUUCACAUGAGUUGCAAUGACUUAAAAAUAGAAUCUCUCAAGAGGGAUGAAUAUGACACUCACGUGUGCCAAGACGUGUGCAUCUUAGUCACUAAAAGUGCCAGGCACAGUGGCUCACACCUUUAAUCCUAGCAUUUUGGGAGGCCGAGGCGGGCAGAUCACUUGAGGCCAGGAGUUCGAGACCAGCCUGGGCAACAUGGCAAAACUCCCGUUAGUACUAAAAAUACAAAAAUUAGCCAAGCACAGUGGUGCACACCUGAUAUCCCAGCUACAAGGGAGGCUGAGGUAUGAGAAUCGCUUGAACCCGGGAAGCAGAGGUUGCAGUGAGCCAAGAUCGCAUCACCGCACUCCAGCCUGGGUGACACAGCAAGACUCUGUCUCAAAAAAAAAAAAAAACAAAAAGAGUCCUAAAAGUGUUCACACCUUUUCACCAAAUACACCAACUAGGGAACAUUAUGGGUCUAUGCACGAUACCCUAAUCUUAUGGGUACUGAUGCAGCAGAGGAUUAUUUGUAUCAGGAAAAAAUGGAAAUGAUGAAUUCCCUCAAAAUGGGGAACUGGUUAAUUAACUUUUGGUACAUUCACAUGAUGGGAUACUCCUAAGACACUCAAACUUCAGUUUUAGAAAAAAGAUUAUCAAACAUGCACAGCAUAAUCCCAAUUAGAUUGUAGCAAAUACUGAAAGGACAGACCUCAACAUUGGCGGGGUGGGGGUGGGGAUUCUAAUGUUCCUCUUUUGGGCUUUUUGUAUUUUUAUUUCAUUUUCUUUCUUUUUUCUUUCUUUUUUCCAGUGGAUACAUAUUCUUUUGUAACAACAACAAAAAAA
rnacentral:lncRNA from 1 species